UUUUUUUUUUUUUUUGACAGGAUGGGCUGGGGUUGGGGGAGGAGGAAGCAAGAAUUAAGCAGAGAAGGCAAGCUCCUUUCUGUUCAUCUAACUCAAACUGUUUCCAAGUGUGAACCCAGUGGAGACCUUUUCAAACUGUAGCCAUGAAGCAGGUUGCAUGAGGCAGUUCCAUCUCCUGGCAACUGUCUCCAUAGACACAGCCUGGUUUCGGUCCGCAUCCCUUACCUAGGAUUCUUCCUGGCUAAAGAAACCCAUAAAAGUGGAAAACUCAAACUCCACAGUGCAAAUAUCUCUUGAGUCUGCCUGCACUACCCUUUCUUGAAUGUGUAUUGAUAAGACUGCAGUUGACAUUUUAAGAAAUUUAAAUUUCAACCUGAAGUCAAUAAGGACACCUCAGAAGUUUUCAAAGGAAGGAUGGAGUCUGUUGAAAAGAACCGGUUGGUAAAAUGAGAAAAAAUGGAUUGAAGGAGACCCAAGUGACCACCUGGUAAUUACUUCAACAGCAGAGCGACUCAUACAGCCGGCAGUCCACUUUGUUCUUCUAUAGAUCCUGCCUGUGGUGUUGGAUCUAACAGCUUCUUCCCUGACCCAAGAUUAUGAAGGAUUUCUCCUGUGUUCUCUUCUAAAAAUUUUACAUUUAGGUACAUAAUCCAUUUUGAGCUAAUUCUUUUAAAUAGUGCAAAGUAUGGAUUGAAGUUCUUUUUUUUUUUUUUUUUUGCAGAUACAUAUUUAAUUUUUCCAGCACCAUUUGUUGAAAAGACUAAUGUUCUUGCCUGAAUAGCCUUUGCAUUGUUGUUGAAAAUCAUGUUCACACAUGUACACAUUCCACUGAUCUAUUUGCCUCUUUGUGAAAAUACUACUAUUUUGAUUAAUAUAUAUUUAUAGGGAGUCUUAAAAUCAUAUCUUAAAAAGAUAGUGGAAGUUAUUUAACCUUACUCUUGCUUUUAGAAAUUGUUUUGGAUAUUCUAGAUCUUUUGUGUUUCCAUAUAAAUUUUAUAAUCAGUUUGGCAAUUUAUUUAAAAUAUUCUUCUGGGAUUUUGAUGGACAUUACACUGAAUCGAUGGAUCGCUUUGGGGACAACUGACAUCUUAACAAUAUUGAGUCAUCUAACAUAUGAUCAUGGAAAUUGCUCCAUUUAUUUAGAUCUUCUUUCACAUCUUGAAGCAGUGUUUUGCGUUUUCAGUGUAUAGGUAUUUAAUAGAUUUAAAAAUAUGAUCCCUAAAUAUUCAAUGUUUUUGAUGCUAUUGGAAUUUUAAAAAAUUAAUUUCUGUUCUGAGGAAGGAAAAUAAUAAAAGAUUAAACAAGAAAAAUAAAAAUAAUCAAAAUAAAAGAUAAAUCAUUGACAAAUAUAAUAAAAAAUAAAAUAAUAACAAAAAAUAUAAAAAA
rnacentral:lncRNA from 1 species